GAUGAACGCUGGCGGCGUGCUUAACACAUGCAAGUCGAACGAAGCACUUUAACCUGAUUCUUCGGAUGAAGGUUUUUGUGACUGAGUGGCGGACGGGUGAGUAACGCGUGGGUAACCUGCCUCAUACAGGGGGAUAACAGUUAGAAAUGACUGCUAAUACCGCAUAAGACCACAGAGCCGCAUGGCUCGGUGGGAAAAACUCCGGUGGUAUGAGAUGGACCCGCGUCUGAUUAGGUAGUUGGUGGGGUAACGGCCUACCAAGCCAACGAUCAGUAGCCGAACUGAGAGGGUGACCGGCCACAUUGGGACUGAGACACGGCCCAAACUCCUACGGGAGGCAGCAGUGGGGAAUAUUGCACAAUGGGGGAAACCCUGAUGCAGCGACGCCGCGUGAGCGAAGAAGUAUUUCGGUAUGUAAAGCUCUAUCAGCAGGGAAGAAAAUGACGGUACCUGACUAAGAAGCACCGGCUAAAUACGUG
rnacentral:rRNA from 1 species